rnacentral:rRNA from 1 species
GCACACAGGAUUAGAUACCCUGGUAGUACACGCCGUAAACUAUGAGCACUAAGUGUCGGAGUAAAAUUCGGUGCUGCAGUUAACACAAUAAGUGCUCCGCCUGGGGAGUACGGUCGCAAGACUGAAACUCAAAGGAAUUGACGGGGACUCGCACAAGCGGUGGAGCAUGCGGUUUAAUUCGAUGCAACGCGAAGAACCUUACCAGGUCUUGACAUACUGUUGACCGGGUUAGAGAUAACCCUUUUCUUCGGAACAACAGAUACAGGUGGUGCAUGGUUGUCGUCAGCUCGUGUCGUGAGAUGUUGGGUUAAGUCCCGCAACGAGCGCCACCCUUAUCAUUAGUUGCUAACAGUCAGAUGAGCACUCUAAUGAGCCCGCCGGCGUAAGCCGGAUGAAGGUGGGGAUGACGUCAAAUCAUCAUGCCCCUUAUGACCUGGGCUACACGCGUGCUACAAUGGCUAGUACAAAGAGUUGCGAAACCGCGAGGUGGAGCUAAUCUCAUAAAGCUAGUCUCAGUUCGGAUUGUAGUCUGCAACUCGACUACAUGAAGU